rnacentral:lncRNA from 10 species
AGGCAGAGGUUGUAGUGAGCCGAGAUCGCACCAUUGCACUCCAGCCUACACAAGAAGAGUGAAACUCCAUCUCAAAAAAAAAAAAAAAUAUAUAUAUAUAUAUAUAUAUAUAUAAAAUAACUAAAAAGUGUGAAAUAGGCUGGUCCAUAUGCAGUGGUUUUACAAGUAAUUUAUCACAACCAGUUAGUUACAGAUUUCUUUGCUCCUUCUCCACUCCCACUGCUUCACUUGACUAGCCUUAAAGGAAAAGAAAUUUUUUAAAUGUGUGAAAUAAUAAAUAAUAAACUCAAUAAAGAAGCUGGCCUUCUAUCAGGAGGCUGAGGCUGUAGUGACCCGUGAUUACGCCACUGAAUUCCAGCCUGGGCGACAGACUGAGACCUUGUCUGAACGACAACAAAAAGAAUCAGAAUUUGAACUCUAUUUCCUUAAAGUAAGAUAAUGUUUUGAAAUUUUUUUUUUUGGAAGGCAGUCCCACUCUGUCGCCCAGGCUAGAGCACAAUGGUGUGAUCUCUGCUCACUGCAACCUCCUACUCCCAGGCUAAAGCCAUCCUCCCACCUCAACGUUCCUAGUAGCUAGGACUACAGGUGCACGCCACCACACCUGGCUAAUUUUUGUAUUUUUUAGUAGAGAUGGGGUCUCAUCACGUUGUCCAGGCUAAUCUCGAAUUCGUGACCUCAAGUGAUCUACCCACCUCAGCCUACCAAAGUGCUGGGAUUACAGGUGUGAGCCACUGCACCCAGCCAUGUUUUGAAAUUUUAAAAUUCAAUUUAGUGCUUUAAAUGUGUAUUUCAGUUAAAAGUAAUAACCAGGCAGGGGCAGUGGCUCAUGCCUGUGAUCCCAGGACUUUGGGAGGCCAAGGUGGGCAGAUCACUUGAGGUCAGGAGUUCAAGACCAGCCUGGCCAAC